UAUCGGAUUGGUAUAGGCUUGCAUGGCAUGCAAGAGGUCACGAGUUCGAGCCUCGUAUUCUCCACCA
rnacentral:tRNA from 1 species